rnacentral:rRNA from 1 species
GAUGAACGCUGGCGGCGUGCCUAAUACAUGCAAGUCGAGCGAACGGACGAGAAGCUUGCUUUUCUGAUGUUAGCGGCGGACGGGUGAGUAACACGUGGAUAACCUACCUAUAAGACUGGGAUAACUUCGGGAAACCGGAGCUAAUACCGGAUAAUAUUUUGAACCGCAUGGUUCAAAAGUGAAAGACGGUCUUGCUGUCACUUAUAGAUGGAUCCGCGCUGCAUUAGCUAGUUGGUAAGGUAACGGCUUACCAAGGCAACGAUGCAUAGCCGACCUGAGAGGGUGAUCGGCCACACUGGAACUGAGACACGGUCCAGACUCCUACGGGAGGCAGCAGUAGGGAAUCUUCCGCAAUGGGCGAAAGCCUGACGGAGCAACGCCGCGUGAGUGGUGAAGGUCUUCGGAUCGUAAAACUCUGUUAUUAGGGAAGGACAUAUGUGUAAGUAACUGUGCACAUCUUGACGGUACCUAAUCAGAAAGCCACGGCUAACUACGUG